AAUAGAACCCGGGUAGUCCACGCCGUAAACGAUGUCGACUUGGAGGUUGUGCCCUUGAGGCGUGGCUUCCGGAGCUAACGCGUUAAGUCGACCGCCUGGGGAGUACGGCCGCAAGGUUAAAACUCAAAUGAAUUGACGGGGGCCCGCACAAGCGGUGGAGCAUGUGGUUUAAUUCGAUGCAACGCGAAGAACCUUACCUACUCUUGACAUCCAGAGAACUUAGCAGAGAUGCUUUGGUGCCUUCGGGAACUCUGAGACAGGUGCUGCAUGGCUGUCGUCAGCUCGUGUUGUGAAAUGUUGGGUUAAGUCCCGCAACGAGCGCAACCCUUAUCCUUUGUUGCCAGCGGUCCGGCCGGGAACUCAAAGGAGACUGCCAGUGAUAAACUGGAGGAAGGUGGGGAUGACGUCAAGUCAUCAUGGCCCUUACGAGUAGGGCUACACACGUGCUACAAUGGCAUAUACAAAGAGAAGCGACCUCGCGAGAGCAAGCGGACCUCAUAAAGUAUGUCGUAGUCCGGAUUGGAGUCUGCAAC
rnacentral:rRNA from 1 species